AUAACAAGUUACCAGUGACAAAUUCCCAGGAUGGGAAAAGCCCGCAGUAAUGCAGACUAGCUGACUAACUGACC
rnacentral:sRNA from 12 species